GGGGGGCGAAGGGAGGAGGCAGGGAGAGCUAUUUGUUUCGCAGUUAGUAUGAGCUCAUCUCUGGGCUGAGGUCUGAAGUGGCAGGAGUGGAAAGCUGAUCGCCCAGCUCCGGCCAGUGGCUGGAUUGCAAUUGCAAUUUAGACGGUGCAAAAAAUUGCCGGGAGCAAACCAACUGAGGGUCACGUCUGCGGGCAGCAUCUCUCCACCUGAAGAAGGUCCCAGCACCUUAGGACCUUGGCUCUUGCCGAGGCUGGCUACAGAUUGCUUCUUGUAAAUGGGGCCAUAAAUCCAGGAUGUCAAGCCGGAUGGAGUGGAGCGUGGACAGGGGAGAGAUGGAAGGGAAAUAAACCAAGCAGGGAAGGUAUCUCCUUGGGCAGGGUGGGAGGGAUUCGGCAGGAUCUCCAGGGUGGAAAUGAGUGAAGGCUGACCUGACCCGAACCACCGGAGUCCAAGUGAGCUUUUAGGGUUAAGGGCGCAGGUAGCCACGGCGUGCUCCGCCCCGGAGGGAGCGCCCCCCUACCUGGAAGAGCCUCAGGAUGUUGGCUACCAUGAUGGAGACCGAACUCCCCGAAGCCCCAAUCACUCCAACUACUUUCUCCGGCUUGACGAAAACCGGGGGUUCACCGUUGGUGCAGCGCACGUCGGAGGUGUCCUUCUGGAUGAGCGCCUGGACGAAAGUGAGCGACUGUUCGAGCGCAUAAGUGUCCCUGGAACAAGUGUCCAGGAUCCGCGCGCCCAGCGUCACGUUGGGCAGUAGGUUAGGAUCACUGUUGAUCUGGUCCAGGGCGUAGAGCAUCGCUUCCAGCCUGUGGAUCCCGUUCUCCCUCUUGAUGUCGCCGCAGGGCACUCCGCUGGGACCCUUGGCGUGCACGGGGAACAGCCCCCCAAGGGUGACGUCCCCCUCGAUCCGGAUUGAGUGCGGGGCGUACAUCUCCUGGCCGCGCGCUGCUGCCGCCAGCGCGCACAGGAGCACCUCCAGCACGCAGCAGGGGAACUUCAUCAAAGUCAGGACGCGGAGCAGCUUCCUCAGCUGGACCAUGCUGCUCUGGCUGCUGCGGUGGCGGCAGCCGCUGGAGGGGACGGUUGUGGGAUCGCCGAGGUCCGGGCCCCUCUGGGUUUGCUCCUCCGGGAAAGCCCAGGGGCUCCUCCAGGCACGAAGGGUGGGGGAGUCGGGGGAGGGGCGACCAGAGAGGGUGAGGGGUCCCGAGGCGCCUGCCAGCCUGGGGCUCCUCGCGCUCUCUGGUUCGCCGGCCAGCACGCCGCGCUCGCGCUCACCAGCGUGCAGCUCGCUCUCUCCUACAGCCCAGCACUGGGGAGAGGGCAGGGAUUGCUAUCGCUUUAAAUGGUCGUUCGGCUCCCUCUCCUCCUCCUCCCACUCCCUCCCUCCCUCGCUGGCUCGCUUCUCUCCCCACCCUUCCCAGCGCCCGCCCUCCCCACUGGUUUGCAUCAUCACGCAGGGAGGGGCUGCGUGCUGAGGUAAGGGGGGAAAAUGGGUGGGCGGCUGGGGAAUGGGGGGAGGUUUCCUCAGAAUGGGAGUUUCGUGGUCCCCAGGGAAUCUAGGGAUUGCGAGCUGGGCUCUGGCCCCCAACUCACUGUGGAAGCCUCUUGCCCGCCUGCACCCACACCCAGGCGUUCUGGGCAUGGGUGUCAUCAGCCGCGGGAUAGGGCGAGGACGUUGGGCUGACUGCUCCCAAACCCUAGGUCCGGAGCCUAGGCUCUUAGCUCUGGGAAAACCCCAGGGAGAGGCAGAGAAGCCAGUGAGGGAGGGGCGUGGGAAGACCCUAGCUAGGCUCUACUCCUGAGCCGCCUGUGCUAGUUUUUGCUAAGAAAGCCACACAUGCACACAAGAGCCUGAUUCACGACUUAAAGACACUUUACCCAAAGGGGUCUCCAGGGCCAGGCGCUGAGCUUGGCUGCAAGGAAACAGAAGCCAAGGGGAGACACCAGGCAUGGGAGUGCAUCCUUGGUCUUCAGUGGUCACUAGAGUCAGAGCUCUGUGAACUGACGCAUUUCCCCAGCACUUCUGUGUCGGAAACCUCGGACGCAUCCCUUCUCUUUUCUUCUUUGCAGAGAUGGAACAACUGAGAACUCCACAGAGCCUAUUUUCUUCUCUAGUACUGACAGGUGUAAGGCUCCCUCCUGUUUCUAGAGAUGUAUCUGGUGCACCUGGUGACAGUUUUUGCCUGUAAGAAACUGCAGGAAAGAGAUGAUGGCAGGAAUAAGAAAGGGGGCAGGCAGAAGUGUCCCCAUAGAUUGAGAAUGCCUUUCUCUUUCACUGGCUGGGGUUUAGGGACAAUGUCAGGAUGCCAGAACAGGUUGCAGUGCAAUUGAGAAGCUCUUUAUGAAAGGUGCCUCCUCCUGCAGGUCCAGACACAUUUGGCCUAUUAAAGCAACAAGUGGCUCUACUUCCAAUACAAGGAAAGUGAUUGUCUCUGUCCUUGGGGAUGGGAGUGGACUUGAGGAAGUUAAACCAACUCUUGCUGAGGCUUUCUGUUGGAGAGCUGCAAAAUCAUAUUAUACAGACAUUAGGGCGGAAAGAAAACCAGAAGCAAGACUAUACUUCUUGUUUCUGCUGAUGAUGUAACGAAGAAACCUAUCACUGUAGGAGGGGGAAAGUCAAAAGGCACUUAGUUGGUUGUCUCUGCCACCAAAUACUUGUGUGCUCUCAGCACUUCUGUUCCUCUGUCUGGGUUUUAGUUUCCCCAUCUGGAAAAUGAUGAGAUUGAAUUGGAUGCUCUCCAAGUUAUCUUUUAACUCUCAAAUCAUCUGUUAAAAUAGGUCAUGUCCCUUUGGCCAUGGUGCUCUUUUUAGGCCAAUAUUUUCUAUUGUAUUAUGUGUAGACCAGUUUUUGCAUAUCCAAAGAACACUGAAGGUUUCUUGGUAUAGAAGGAUUUUUUUCUUGAACAGCAUCUAUUCUUUUUUCCUGUCAGGGACAUCCCAUCAAUUUAUUUUUGGAUAUGCCCCUCUGGCGUGUUUAAAUGUUUAUGGUUUCAGGAGAAUUGAUCCCACUCCCUGUAUUCAAGUCUUGACUGAUCAGAACAUCAGAUCCUUCUGGCUGUAGUGAUGUUCCAGGAUGGGCAGUAAGUCCAAUCAGAGCCAUUCAGGGAUAAUCCCUGGACUUUUGCUGGGGCAGCCAGGAUGGAGGCAUAGGGGUACCAUUAUAACAUAGGCAAUCUCUGUUUGAGUCAGAUAAAAAGGGGCCCCUUCUCCAAAAUACUUGGUUUCUUUUUUGGAAAAUUGUUGUGCUAUUCUGAUUUUGUCAAAACAAGAUAUUUUGUGUCACCUUCCAGAAAACAGUGCUGUAAUUAAUAUACAAAGCUACUCUGUGUAUAAUGUGCCUAUGAAUCACCUUCAGACUCAAUGCCUUGCUACGUAAAUACGCAAGUUGAAUUACCAUGAUGGUCCCUGCUCCUUCUUGUAUGUCAUAGAGCUGUGAGAAUAUUAGCCUGAAGUUGUGCCAGAGGCUUCCACAAGAACAGGGAGAUAUUUAAACCCCAAAGUAAGAGAGAGAUAUACAUACAGAUAGAGAUAGAUAAAAAAUGGGAGACAGAUUGAGGCUUAAUUAAAACAUUUGCAUUCUUGGAUCCAGGCAUGCUUUAAGAAUUGCCUCUGGACUUUAAAAAUUAUUUAGCACUUCCUUUCUGUUUAAAGUCAAAAGGAUCCUCUUCUAAUUCACCUGUUCUAAUACACAAAAUCAAAAAGGUGAGAUGGCUGAACACAUAUUCUAUUAGGGCAGCAUUAACUCAUUUGGAAGAAGAUAUAAAUAAAGCAAUAGAGAGACAUACUUGGGAACAAGUGUAUUACAAUCCUAGUAUUUAAGCAUUAGCACCUAAGGCUGUCUUUGACAGAUACUAUUACAUCCUUAUUUCAUUUUAAUUCCAGUCUAUUUAAUACAAACUUGGUGACAAAAAUAUUUGGAGAAUUGGAGUAACAAGUAAUGUCACUUGGUUUUUCACCUGAACAUGUCUCGCUUCAUGCUCUGUGCUUCCAUUUGCAUUUCCCAUCCAAUGAUUGCUCAAUAAAUAUUUUUUGGCUGGCUGUUGAAUGCUGCCUUAUUCUGCCUUCUCUCUGCUCUGCUCCUUCUCCCCAAACAUCUGGCAGCGAUCAUUAUCUUUCCUUUAUUGCCAUCAUCUGAGUGCAUGUCUUAUUUCCCUUGCCAAGUAGUAAGAUCCUUGAGGGUAAGGGCUGGGUAUUAUUUAUCUUUUUAUCGGGACCAUGUUUCAAAUGAUGUUUUGUGCCUAAGAAGCACUCAUGUGUUGAAUGAUUCAGAACUAGUUUUGCCAUUCUCUACUGCCUUUAUUUGACAGUGACCAAAACUUAAAGUGGGAAGAGCAGGAAUGCUGACAGAUAAAUCACUUCCCUCUUAGUUGCUAUAGACAGUUUCUAGAACUUAAAGAUAAUUAGUAGAUUUUGAAGUAAUUUUGUAUUUUUAAAAAUGUCCAGGGCUAAAAUAUUCUAACCUUUAAAAUUUGAUUAACUCUCAGGUAAAGCUUUGAUUGGUCAAAUUUCCUGAGUCCAGUGCUCACUGAGGGUUCAACAACUGUGGCCAUGCCCAUAGGCUGGUUCAAAGAGCUCAGAAGCAUAGACCUAUUUUCUAGCCAGGUACCACCACCACUUAAAUUACAUGGAAAGAGAACUCUGUUACCAGAGAAACUGGAAAAUGAUGCUGAGCUUGCAAAAUCACUACCCAUCUACUACAUAUGAUUUAUAAUUAGUAUUUAUACCUUUUGCCAUGGCAUAAGAUCUGGCACUUGAUAAGGAACAUGGUAUUUUUGUUUUGUUAUAUUUUCUGAGAUUAUAUGGAUUGAAAAUCUCUGUGUGAGAUGGGUUUAUGUAAAACAGGGCCAGUCAUUGUUCUAAUGUCAGAUUUCAUUGGAGGAGAACCUAGUUUUAGGCACAAAGAUUGUAAGCUAUAAAAUGUGUUCACAGGCUUGGCUCUAUUUAGUAAUCAAUCUAUCCUCACUCGGGGGUUAAUAAAAAAUGACUAAACUUAAGGUCUCAGUCUUACUUCAUAUUCUUUUAUUUUCUUGAUCAUCUUUGUUUUACUUAUUUUCUUUGUUGUUCUGCUGCCUGAAGAUGUUCUACUCUUCAACAUUUUCUGCAGGAAAUAAUGUUCGCACUUCCAGUUCACACUAUAUUUGUUUAAAUUCAAUUUUUAACAUACAAGUGUGUCUUCCUUAACCAUUGCUACUUCUGCUAUGGCUGCUAGUGCACUGCGGCUCUUCUUCUAUCCUUAUAUAAUCUUCAUCUGUAACUUUUCAAAACACAAUCUCACAUUUUAUUAUUUGAAUGGACAUUCACUUUACCUUGGUGACAGAGACUAUUCCAUUUUCAUCUGGUAUACUUUCUUGCUUUAUCUACUUGUAAUAGAUACUUUCUGUCACUUAACUAGCAUCUAUUCAUCCAUUUUCUGAUCCCUUUUGUUAAGAAACCUUGGUAUUGUGCAGAUAAAUUCACUCCACAGAUCCUGCAAUGGGUGGAUUGAAAUUGAUUCCUACUGGUAACCCCUUUCUUUCCUUCUGGUAGUUCAUUUAGGAAUUCAAGCCAGUGACAUCUAGGGAAAGCCUUGAUGGGGGUUUCUGAAAGCACUUCUUGCCUCUGGCAGGAUUGUGUGUAGAUAUGAGACCUGGGAUUAUUGUAGUUAUUUCACUAGUUGCAUGAAGAUGAGUUCAAUACACAGAGCUUCCCUGCACCACUAGAUCAAAUCAACCCCAAUCCUUCCUCUUUUGAUUUCCAGUUACAUAAGCCAAGAAAUCUGCUUAUUGCAUAGGCAAGUAUUAGUCGAGUUUUCUGUAACUUACAGCCAAAUUCAUGCUAGAUGUUACUAAAAGUAUUUAUAUUAUUAAUAAAUAGGAUUUGAAUAUAUUUACAUUAAUGUUAUACAUUUUAUAUGAAUAAUGAAUAUUACCAAAUUUCAAAUUUUUUCAUGUGCUUACAGGAUACCAGGCAUUAUAUUAUCAAUUCUCAAGAUAACCUCAUUUGAUAUAUAUCAUUAUUAUUAUUGCUAUUUUAUAGAUCAGAAAAUGGAGGCCCAGGAAGGUGAAAAGUAUACUUUUAUCAAUAUGCUGUCAUUUUUUUACUGCUUCUUUAGUUUAUCCGCCUUACCAUCUUGUUACCUUGAAGCUCCCAUAACUUAAGUCUCAACUCCAGAUGCUCUGAGUGCUCUGUCUCAUCAAAUGUACUCAGUUCAGAAAGACCUCACUUGUUACAUCCCUCAGAUCUCCUUGCCCUUUGGAUGCAGUGUCUGGGAAGCCACAAGGAGAGUCUCACCUAAGGACAAAAGGAAACCUCACUCCCCAGUUUUCUGUCUUCCCAGGUCUCAGUGAUUUCACUCAUUUCUUCUCUCAGUACAUAGGGAGGACUAUUUUACCCUGCCCGUUGGGUAGGCAAAUGAAACAACACCUUUGGGGCAAGUCACUCAUACACUAAGUGAUUCUCCAGGUACAGAUCUCUCUCUAUCAUAUUUUGUACUACCAUUUAAUAAACCAGUUGUUCCCUCCAGAGCUGUGAGUCAGAGAACAAAAUGGCUUUGACUUCCUUAAUAGGCAAAAACAAUUCUCUGCUUUCAAAUUGCUAGACAAGACUGCCUAGAAGGGCUUGAACCUCAGCCUUCCCCUAUAAUUCUUUCAAUCUCCCUACAGUGUCCCCUAAGUUUGUAGAGCAUGGAAUGUCCCAACCCUCCUUUUGGUAACAUCAUCAGCCAUUCCUUUGGGAAGGCACUCUUCUCGGUCUUUAGGAACUGAGAUGGAUCCUAAUACUCCAUCUACCCAAACUCAGAUGUGGGCACAUAUCUAGGGUUAGCUGAACUGAGCUCUUUCUUCCCCUGGUGGGGCUGAUGAGUCCAAAGAUAGGUAAAGAACUUGAAUUUUAUGUAUGGAUUCUAGAAGGCAGAUGUACUUCUCUUAGCUAAAUACAUAUGAAGAUAGAGACCUGGGGCUUCCAGCACGUUUCUUCACAACAUGAAGAAAACCUGUCUGAGAAUAAAAUCAACCCCCAUGGCCGGACACAGUGACUCAUGCCUGUAAUCCUAAUUCUUUGGGAGGCUGAGGUGGGUGGAUCACUGAGGUCAGGAGUUUGAGACCAGCCUGACCAACAUGGUGAAUCCCUGUAUCUACGAAAAAUACAAAAAUUACCUGGGUGUCAUGUUUUAUGCCUGUAAUCCCAGCUACUUGGGAGGUUGAGGCAGGAGAAUUAUUUGAAGCAAGGAGGUGGAGGUUGCAGCGAGCCAAGAUUGCGCCACAGCACUCCAGCCUGGGUGGCAGAACAAGACUCCAUCCAUCUCAAAAAAAAAAAAAAAGAAUCAAGCUACACAAGGAAACAAAGCUAA